rnacentral:rRNA from 1 species
AAAUUGAAGAGUUUGAUCAUGGCUCAGAUUGAACGCUGGCGGCAGGCCUAACACAUGCAAGUCGAACGGUAACAGGAAGCAGCUUGCUGUUUCGCUGACGAGUGGCGGACGGGUGAGUAAUGUCUGGGAAACUGCCUGAUGGAGGGGGAUAACUACUGGAAACGGUAGCUAAUACCGCAUAACGUCGCAAGACCAAAGAGGGGGACCUUCGGGCCUCUUGCCAUCGGAUGUGCCCAGAUGGGAUUAGCUAGUAGGUGGGGUAACGGCUCACCUAGGCGACGAUCCCUAGCUGGUCUGAGAGGAUGACCAGCCACACUGGAACUGAGACACGGUCCAGACUCCUACGGGAGGCAGCAGUGGGGAAUAUUGCACAAUGGGCGCAAGCCUGAUGCAGCCAUGCCGCGUGUAUGAAGAAGGCCUUCGGGUUGUAAAGUACUUUCAGCGGGGAGGAAGGGAGUAAAGUUAAUACCUUUGCUCAUUGACGUUACCCGCAGAAGAAGCACCGGCUAACUCCGUGCCAGCAGCCGCGGUAAUACGGAGGGUGCAAGCGUUAAUCGGAAUUACUGGGCGUAAAGCGCACGCAGGCGGUUUGUUAAGUCAGAUGUGAAAUCCCCGGGCUCAACCUGGGAACUGCAUCUGAUACUGGCAAGCUUGAGUCUCGUAGAGGGGGGUAGAAUUCCAGGUGUAGCGGUGAAAUGCGUAGAGAUCUGGAGGA